GUGCCAGCAGCCGCGGUAACACGUAGGGCGCAAGCGUUGUCCGGAAUUAUUGGGCGUAAAGAGCGUGUAGGCGGCUGGGUAGGUCCGUUGUGAAAACUCGAGGCUCAACCUCGAGACGCCGAUGGAAACCAUCUGACUAGAGUCCGGAAGAGGAGAGUGGAAUUCCCGGUGUAGCGGUGAAAUGCGCAGAUAUCAGGAAGAACACCCGUGGCUAAGGCGGCUCUCUAGUACGGUACUGACGCUGAGACGCGAAAGCGUGGGGAGCGAACAGGAUUAGAUACCCUGGUAGUCC
rnacentral:rRNA from 1 species